GGGCAUUGGUCUAGUGGUAUGAUUCUUGCUUUGGGUGUGAGAGGUCCCGAGUUCGAUUCUCGGAAUGUCCC
rnacentral:tRNA from 1 species